AGGCAGCAAGUGAAGUUGUGAGUUUGUUACUGGCUUUGGGAAUCCUCAGUCUGGACCCUGCUAUGCUGUUGCCUUGCAAGCAGAAAGAUGUCACAUGAAUUCUGGAGCUACAGAAGUGCUGUGACUUCAGAUGACCUUCUCCACUGUCUCCAAAACCUGCGUAUGCACAUACAGCCAACGGUAGACUCCAUCCACCUCUAGAAGAAUGGGUAUUUAAGGUGGGAGUUUUCAUCACUGAGGUCAAAUGGAAACAGAGGAUUUGGUGCUAUGCAUAACGCAGACUUGCCUAAGCAAAGAAGAAAGACUUGUGCUAAAAGAUGUGUGAUAAACUUUUGCCGGACCUUCCAUUUGAAGGGGAAAAAAAGCUGUGACACAGAUUACUUAAAUGGUAACAUAGAAGGUUAUGUUAUGGAGUGUUAGAUAGCAUAAGAUUACCUGACUGUAGAAGUUCAAGUUUAUCCUUUUUAUAUGAAGCCAGGUCUCCUAUGUAGCAGAUGCCACCCUUGGCCAGCACAGCACUGCAAGCUUGAAUACUAGCGCUUCCAGUUCCGUGUUUGUCUUUGGACACGGAAGGGAAAAUGUCACUGCAAGGCUGACCACAAGAUGGCAGUAGUUCCUACGGCAUAUUCGCACGCAGAACAGCUUGGGGCGGCUUUCUGAGCGGCGGGACGGAAGCCACUGCCGCCUCUGCCUGGCCUGGAAAUGCCAUUGGAAAAACAGAUACUCAUUACGAAAGGUACGUGCCCUCAUAAAGGUAUCAUGAUUUAUUCUGCAGUCUCCUAACUUUGGGAUUUGGCUUUUCUUUUAUCAUUCAUGGUCUAUGUUACAGGAAGAAGCAGACAGACUUAAAAGUCCUUAAGGCCUAAUCCUGCAAUGAUGCAGGCAGUUCAGUAAUAUUACUGAAAGAAGUUGUUCCACUGAAGUGAGCUACUUACUAAAACAAACUUGUUCUACACUAGCAGUUUUUGCCAGUCACUUAAGAAUACUGUUCUACAGUAUACAAAUACACACAGAAACACAGUUUCCAAGGGAAAAAAAGUAUUCUGCUAGCUUAGCUUUUUUUUUUCUUUCAGUUUAUAUGAGAAAAUAUGUAUGUCAAUAUAAUUUAAUGAAUUAUCUUAAUCAUUAGGAAAAUGGAUUGCUGGCAUUACUGUGCUUCCAAAACAUUUAAUAAUGCUGAGCAACCACUGGCAGGGUCCACUGCUUUCAAUUAACAGAAAUCACACUGUGCUCAUUACAAAAAUAUAUGCAUAAUAAGACUGCAUAGAAAAAUGCCUUUGUCAUGCUGGGGUUUUAGCUCUUAAAUUAUCAAAAUUAUUAUAAAGCUUCUGAAAUAGUACCAAUUUUUUUUAUUACCUUUAGAAAAUUGGCAGGUUUCCUCAGUACAAAAAAAUCUUGCUCCUUGCGUAUAUUUCGUUACAAUUCCCAUCGCAAUCGCUAUUCCUUCAGACAUAUAAAAUCUUUGAGAUGUGUAAUUAAAGGGAAACGCAGCAAGACUCAGAACAUAACUUGGUAAAGGUGGCAAAUGGGUUGGUUUCAACAAUAUACUGAUCUAACAAGAGACACAAUCACAUUAAUACCAUCAAAAUAUUUGUUUGUUUUAAACCCACUUUACUUACAUGGACAAGCAUACAGUGUGAUAUAUGGCUAUGAGAAAAAUCAGAAAUGCAUGAGGUUUCAUAUUAAUUAUCUCUAAAUUCUUGCAAUAGGGUUGGGUGAGAUUUCCAGCUAUUUUUAAUUACAACUAAUACUACAAUCCAAGGAAAAAAUGCUAAAUGAAAAGUUAAUAUAAAAAUAAUACUAGUUAAUACUUCACCAUACUUGAAAGAUUUAAGAUCUAAAUGGAGGAAAACUGCAGCCUCACCUGGGCCUCUGUCUGCAGUUGUUCAAUUAAUGAUAAUGUCUUAAUAGCUAUGAAGCACACCUGUGAUUGACAAAUCAUUUCAUUUUAGAAAGGAAAAUCUAGUUAAAAUGUAGAAGAUGUACUUUUGUCUGCUCUUGUCUAUCAGUCUGUACUUACUGACUGAAAAAUCUGUGCAGCUUGUAUGGGAUUAUGAAGAAUGUAGUUUCCAAGAGUUGCAUCUAAUUCAGCAAUAUCAGAAGGGUUUAUUGAAAUAAUGAAACGAUAAACAGCAUAACUUUGUUUUGAGUCUGUAGGAGCAAAAACUAUCCAAAUAAAAAACAAUGUAAGACUUAUGUGACAUUAUGUGUUAAUUUAACAGACUAUCUGUUGAGUAAUACCACUGUAUUUUUUGCAAUCCUGCAUGAAUUUCUGAAGGCCACCACUUCUGUCCAGGUAAACAAGGGCAACUUCCCUCAUCUUCUGUAUUUCACGAUGCAUCUUCCAAGAAAGACCUUUGCACUAUUUAUCAAAAUGUUGGAAUAAACUGUGAAGAAACAAUGUUAGAGCUGGCCAUGCUAUGAUAACAAUAAAGGGAAAUAUGAACAAAGCCAUACAAAUAAGUCUCUUUUUCAAGCUAUGCAGUUCUCUAAGGAUUUUUAAAACUCAGUGGAAAGUUCUUUCCAAUGGCUGAAGCAUACUACAUUCCCAAAAUAAAUUCCCGGAGAAUG